AGAGUUUGAUUAUGGCUCAAGAUGAACGCUGGCGGCGUGCUUAACACAUGCAAGUCGAACGAAGCACUCUUUUAGAUUUCCUUCGGGGGAGAAGAAAUUGUGACUGAGUGGCGGACGGGUGAGUAACGCGUGGGCAACCUGCCCCAUACAGGGGGAUAACAGCCGGAAACGGCUGCUAAAACCGCAUAAGCGCACAAGGGCCGCAUGGCCUGGUGUGAAAAACUCCGGUGGUAUGGGAUGGGCCCGCGUCUGAUUAGCUAGUUGGCGGGGGAGAGGCCCACCAAGGCGACGAUCAGUAGCCGACCUGAGAGGGUGGCCGGCCACAUUGGGACUGAGACACGGCCCAAACUCCUACGGGAGGCAGCAGUGGGGAGUAUUGCACAAUGGGGGAAACCCUGAUGCAGCGACGCCGCGUGAGCGAAGAACUAUUUCGGUAUGUAAAGCUCUAUCAGCAGGGAAGAAAAAUGACGGUACCUGAGUAAGAAGCACCGGCUAAAUACGUGCCAGCAGCCGCGGUAAUACGUAUGGUGCAAGCGUUAUCCGGAUU
rnacentral:rRNA from 1 species